rnacentral:tRNA from 1 species
GGGCGAGUGCUGAAAUUGGCAGACAGGCGGGUCUCAGAAGCCCGUGUUCGCAAGAACGUGUGGGUUCAAGUCCCACUUCGCCCACAA